CCUCCCGCCACCCGAUUGGCUGUCGCUCUACGGCCGGCCGGCCCUCCCCUCCUCCCAUUGGCAGGCAGAGCCGUCGCUCCGCGCCGGGUAGAACGGGGCGGGGGAGCGGCGGGGCGCUGGCGGCACGCGGGAGUUCGGCGCUGACAGGGAGGCGCGCGGAGGCGCUGCGGGACGGGCCGGGCACCUCCUGCCCGCGGCAGGUGAGCUCAGCGAGACCAGUUUAAGCAGUGCUGCAGAGGAGAAGAUCAUGGAUGCAAGAAGAUGCCUCAUUUCAGAACACCCAAACAUGAAGAUUUUAUGAACGUCAUUGGGGAUCCUUUGCUGGAGCUGUUGUGUGCUGCCCGCUGCAGCGCAGCCCUCUGUGACCCCUUGCCUCCAAGGAUGGAAUCUGUGAGUCUUUUCCAUCCUGAACUUGUGAGUUCUCCCUCCUGAGCCCAGUGAGUUUCAAAUAUUGCAUUAAAAGAUGUGACAGUGUUGUCUAGGAGAUGUGACUGACUUAAUUGUUGUUAAUAUUAAAGUGCCUUACAAUGAUGGGAAAGAGUCAUUGCAUUCUUUUCUUGCAAAUAGGAGAGCUGGCGUGCAGGAGGAAUGGAUCUCGUCUGUCUGCUGUGAUUCUUGACCCACCUAAUUGGCUAAUGGCCACGAGCAAUAACUGUGUGGCUCAGGGGAGCAGUGCUGGGGAGAGAUGUAGCCGCUCGGGGCAGAGAAGCACUGUGCCGUACCGAACACGUUGCACGUGAUCCUGCCAUCGAUGACCGAACCUCCCUGAAAUCUUAUCAGUUACUGCCAAGAGGAGAAGGACAGCAGGGAAGAGGAGUGU
rnacentral:lncRNA from 1 species